GAUGGCGGUCGUCUGUUCUGAGAUGCGCCGGUGCUGGUGCCGGUGCUGCUGCUGUUGUCGCUGGUGCCGAACGGGAUCGGUUGUUCGCAGACGGUCCCGUGCGGCGUUUUAUUGCGCGGGCGCGUCCGGUCGCGGCCGACCGCCGCCGCCUCUCCGUCCGUCGGCGAACGAGCGCGAUGGGUAUAAUUUAUUAUUACGUACUGCCGUCGCCACCGCGCCCCACGACCGCCGUUACGGCCAUUAUGUGUACGGAGCAGCAUCGGACGCCGCCACCGCCGCGCGCGCACAAGUAGUUAGUACGAACGACCAGCGAGUGGCGAGUACUCGUCGUCAUCGCCAGUCGCCACUGCCGUCUUCGUCGUAUUGCCGUCGCAAACCGAACGCAACAACUGUCCGCCCGACGUGUUCGUUCGUCCUUAAUGAACGCAGAUAUCACGCACCAUAGUCAUAGAUGUUAAUUGUCCUGUUAAAACCGAUAGGGAUAUUAUGUUCCUACAUAUUUAAAGCCAUGGGACAAAGCCUGGUCAUCGGUUCGGAACGAUCUGCUAGAAGAAAGAAACAAAAAGAUGGUCUAUCCAUCGACACGCCGACCGUGUCACUCACGGCGGCUUCCAUGACCGAUUUGGAUAAUAUUACACAACACCAGAUUAUCUAUAAAAAAAUGGAACACCUGAUGGAUCGUAUGCAGGACGAGAACACCGGCAUCCCCGUGCGUACAGUCAACAAGUUCAGAGCCAAAGUGCCUUCCGUGUUCACUGGAACUGAUUUGAUUAUGUGGAUAAUGAAGAACUUGGAUGUUGACGACCAAGUUGAAGCAUUAUACCUAGCAAAUCUAUUGUCUUCCCAUGGUUAUUUAUUUCCAAUUGAUGAUCAUUUUCUAAAUGUCAAAAAUGAUGGAUCAUAUUAUCGUUUUCAAACUCCUUAUUAUUGGCCAUCUAACAUAUUCGAUCCAGAAAAUACAGAUUAUGCUGUUUACCUUUGCAAAAGAACAAUGCAAAACAAAACACGUUUAGAACUGGCUGAUUAUGAGGCUGAAAACUUAGCUAAGCUCCAAAAAGUUUUGUCUAGAAAAUGGGAAUUUGUUUUUUUACAAGCUGAAGCCCAAAGUAAAGUAGACAAAAAACGAGAUCGUAUGGAAAGAAAAAUAUUAGAUAGCCAAGAACGCGCUUUCUGGGAUGUGCAUAGACCAAUGCCUGGAACUGUAAUAACAACAGAAAUUGAUUAUAAGAAAUUAAAGAGAUACAAAGAAUUAGCUACAUUGGCCAAUGGAGAUAUUAACAGUUUGCAACCAUUACAAAUCCCAGUGAAACCAAAUAUUGGUAAGCCUACUGUUGAGUCUAUAAAAAAAGAAAUCACAGCGAUGCGACUAAAACUUGAUCGACGUAAUAUAAAGCUAUCUAAAAUUGCAGACACGUACAUUACUUAUUUCGAACAAUAUGCUGAGUAUGAUCCAUUUUUUACACCUCCAGAAUUUAGUAACCCUUGGUUAUUGGAUAAUGUAGAAGUAUGGGACUGUGAUAAACAUUCUUCUCUAUUUUCUUACAGAAAAGAAGUCACUGUGCGUAGAAUAAAACGGUGGGCAUUUAGUUUAAAAGAGCUUUUAGCUGAUCCCGCUGGCAAGGAGCAUUUUACAAAAUUUCUGGAAAAAGAAUUUAGCUGUGAAAAUUUAAAAUUUUGGGAGGCUGUGCAAAAUCUAAAAAAGUUACCUCAACGUGAAGUGCCAGAAGCUGCCCAAGAAAUUUGGACUGAAUACUUAAGUGGUGAUUCAUUGAACAUAGAUUCUCAAUCAAGGGAAUUAAGCCGAAAGAACAUGUCUGCUCCUGAUCGAUGGGCAUUUGAUAUAGCUGCCGUAUGUAAUCGCACAUUUUCAUUAUGUUCAUGUUUACCAUUUAAUGAAGAGUGAUAGCUACCAGAGAUAUAUAAGAUCAGAAAUGUAUAAAGAAUAUUUAAACACUUCCAAGAAAAAGACUUCCAUGAAAGGCAUUAGGUCUAUAGUUUCAUUUUCUGGAAAAAGAGAUAUUUGUCCUUCGUGAUGGUAUGCGUACUUAAAUAUACUU
rnacentral:misc_RNA from 1 species